UACGGAGGGGGCUAGCGUUGUUCGGAAUUACUGGGCGUAAAGCGUGCGUAGACGGUUGCGUAAGUCAGAUGUGAAAGCCCCGGGCUCAACCUGGGAAUUGCAUUUGAGACUGCGUAGCUAGGGUGCGGAAGAGGGAAGCGGAAUUUCCGGUGUAGCGGUGAAAUGCGUAGAUAUCGGAAGGAACACCGGUGGCGAAGGCGGGUCUCUGGGCCGAUACUGACGCUGAGGAGCGAAAGCGUGGGGAGCGAACAGG
rnacentral:rRNA from 1 species